UGCAGGUUUUUGUAAAGCUACCGAUUUGCACUGGCAAGCGUGUGUGUGCACGGACGGCAAAGGACGAAAAAGCCCAGCAGAGGCUACAGAAGGGGACCCCAUGGAGACUCACAGCCAAUAGAAAUGAUCACUUGAGAUGCCUUCCCAGUCCCUUCUCAGGAAGCACAAGCAAAACCAGCUUCAAAUUCCUGAUUUGCAUGUUUUUCUGAGUGGCUGUUUCUUAGGCUGCUGUGCCUUCUGGCACCUAGAGUUAGGAUAACCCCCAGUGAACAGAUGAUGGGACCUAGCUGCUAUCAACACUCACCGCCUGUGGACAGCAGGAGCCAAAACCCAAAUUAAAAGAUGAUAAGAAAGGAAUUAAAACCGCAAGCCAAGAAAUGCCCAUGCUCUAAAAAGGUGGAUCCAAGGAGUGGCCAUGCAAAAUAGUUCCUGGAAGAUAUAAACUAGUUAAUGGGAAAGUCUGAAUAUGCAUCAAGGUGAUGCAAUAGAAAUGGUAUAUAAAGGGUGUUCCUGAAACACCAAAUGUGCUCUUGGCAGAGCACCAAGCACCCAGCCGUUAUUCUUUACUUUAUUAUCUAUGUCUCUUUUUGUCUUUAUUAAACCUUUUAAAUUUUA